GCUCUCCUACUACCCUUGCCCUCUUUUUCUGUUAAACUCUUAGGUCACAGUGGUCCUCUCUGACCUCUCCCUUUCACAGCACCAUGUCCCCUCCCUUUGCAGAGCUGGUCUCAAUGCACCCAAUUCCCACUCAUUAGCUGAUUGCCACCACAGUCUGUGCUGGGCAGAGUAAUUCACCCCAGGGCACCCCAGGCAUGGUGACUCAGGUACUGUUUGGGAGCAGCCCAUCACCUUUGAGAAUUUCUCUGAGAGAAAGACUGAACACAAGCAGGGGAGAGGCAGA